rnacentral:rRNA from 1 species
GACGAACGCUGGCGGCGUGCUUAACACAUGCAAGUCGAACGCUGAAGACCUGGCUUUUGUUGGGUUGGAUGAGUGGCGAACGGGUGGGUAACACGUGAGUAACCUGCCCUCUUCUUUGGGAUAACGCCCGGAAACGGGUGCUAAUACUGGAUAUUCACUGAUCUUCGCAAGGGGGGUGGUGGUAAGGUUUGUUCUGGUGGGGGAUGGGCUCGCGGGCUAUCGGGUUGUUGGUGGGGUGAUGGCCUACCAAGGCUGUGACGGGUAGCCGGCCAGAGAGGGUGACAGGUGAACUGGGGCACGGGCCACGGUCCAGAGUGAUACGGGAGGGAGGAGUGGGGAAUAAUGGGCAAUGGGCGAAAGCAUGAUGCCGCGGCGGGGGGUGAGGGAUGGCGGCUUUUGGGUUGUUUUCCUCGUGCGAUAAUGGCCACGCCGUAAUUGUGCGUUGUGGUGAGGGUAGUGGGUAAAGAAGCGCCGGCUAACUACGUG